AGCGAACGAAACACAAAUCUGACCAAAUUCGCAUGACAGAAGUCCCAUGGAGGAUUGAGGGCAGUCCAAACAGGCAGAGUUUCCCCUGCUUUCUGAAGGAAAAGGGGCAUCUCUGAAUACUACAAAUAAUCUGCUUUCACAGGGGUAGAUAAACACCCGAAUAGAUGCAGAAGCUUGUAUGAACGCAGUUAUCUUUGAGAGAGGCCUUGAUGAACUCUGCCUAUAGAGUGAAGUAGCCGUGCAGAACCAGCUUACAAAUCUAGCUGGUUUAAACAUGCCAUAGUUUAACAUUUUAACCACAGUUUAAGGUUCAGACCACGCACUAAACUACCAUGAAUGGAAACAGGAACCCUCCUGUUUGAACAUCCUCACAGGCAUUUUGAACCACUGAAGUUCAAGACUUGCUAUAGUUCGUUUUUACCACAGUACAAGCAUGUUCAGUGUGAUAUAAUGGAGGGAGCUGUGUUAAUAAUCCUUGGAUGUUAAAAUAGGGAGAUUCUCUAGUUCUGAGUCUUUCUUUAAAAAAGAAAACCCCAACUGUUCAAGAGACUCAAGGUGACAUUCAUGGAAUAAAUGACCUGGACUCUUUGUCGGGCGAGAUGGAGCUGGCUGGCGGUCACUUUUCUUGACCAGGAAAUGGCUGCUCUCACGUACCAUUGGAAAAUUGUGGAUCAGUAUUCUUUAUUAAUGCGUCAUCUCUCUCAGUUCUCAGACUAGGGUAGAUACUGCACCCCACAAUGCUAAAUUAAAG